GACCGUACCCUAAACCGACACAGGUGGACUGGUAGAGCAUACCAAGGCGCUUGAGAGAACGAUGCUGAAGGAACUCGGCAAAUUACCUCCGUAACUUCGGGAGAAGGAGGCCUCACUCUGGGCAACCAGAACUGAGGGGCACAGACCAGGGGGUUGCGACUGUUUAUCAAAAACACAGGGCUCUGCGAAGCCGCAAGGCGACGUAUAGGGUCUGACGCCUGCCCGGUGCUGGAAGGUUAAAAGGAGGGGUGAGAGCUCUGAAUUGAAGCCCCAGUAAACGGCGGCCGUAACUAUAACGGUCCUAAGGU
rnacentral:rRNA from 1 species